rnacentral:tRNA from 1 species
UUGCAAAAGAAUACUUAUUCAUUUUUGAGGUAUGAACCCAACAGCUUAGUAGUUAGCUUAUUUUGCA